ensembl:lncRNA
UGUGUUAUUCUGUGUUUGUUACAGGGAUGAACUGCUUGAGUCGUCGCUGGUGUGGCAGGGUUUAGCUGGGGGUAAUAAAACGGUCACGGGGUUGUUUACAGCCUGAAGCAGCCAAGAGGGAGUGACGUAGCGUGAAGAAGACGGACAUGCGCAGUGGGAGAAAAGACGAGCGGAGCAAAAAAAAAAGCACACGUGUCCGGAUGAGAAGAGACGCUAGGAAAGGGCCGCGGUCAGGAGGAGACCCGAACAAAGUAUAAACGGGAGGUUAGCGAGACAGUAUACGGUACCGCAGCGAGUCUAGGCUGGGUUUCCGUCCGUGUAUGCACUCUGACUCCGGCUACAGCGGCCUUACGGGUGUAACGUCGGGGCGAAGUGUCGGCGGAGAUAGCGCUAGCAGAGGGGCUAAUCGAGAGCUAAGGCUAGCGGCCGCUCCCCUCCAAUUGGCCUCAGUUUCCCGGCGUUGCCAGUAGAGUUUGGCGACAAGAACGUUUAGAAAGCGAGACAGCACGGCUGGCUGUCUGGCGAAGGACCAGCGAGUUUCCGGGAGAGGAAUUGGGCGGCCUCACUUCGCACGGCCUGGGGACUGCCGUAGCUCCGUUAGCCCGCGGGACCGCCAUCUUGGGCCCCGAUGUCGGCGGUGUUUGGAGUACCCUGCCACCCAGACGACGCUCCGGUUGUUCACCCUGCUUCAGCUGGCUGUGUGUAAAAGUUUCACCUACCCGUGGGUUCAUUACGCUCCAUUUCAGGAGGGGCAAAGGUACAGUUUCUGUGUUUUAUUUCCUUGCUUUGAUGUGGACCAGAGAAUGAACAUUCUAUUCCGGCUGUGGAAGUUCUGGACAGCCUAACAGACUGCAACUCCGGUUAAUGACACAUACCCCUAGAACUAUCUGUCCGUCCCACCCCAGAGACAAUUUACUGGAGUGAACUGUAAAGACUGAAAAUGUUCCUUUGGUGUGUCGGACAUUGUAAAUGAUGUGAUGAGACUGUGUCGACCAUUUUAGACAGAAUAUUUGCUGUGUUAACUUUUACUGUUCUGCUGUGUUGUGAGUGUUUUUCCUGUGACUAGGGUGGGUUGUGUGGAGUCGAGGACUCCCAACUCUGGGUCUCACCAGUCUGUUUUGAUUUAUUUUACCUCAUUUUAUUUCUUUCAUUUCUUUGGUCCUGGGGAGGCUCCUUGCUGUUUUCCCUUUGCUCUCCAGGGCCCUGUGGACAUUGUUAACCAAGUUUGGUUUUUUUUGAGGGCUCUCCAGAUAAAUAAAAAGAGCCACGUGGUUUAAAAA